rnacentral:rRNA from 1 species
UACGUAGGGUGCGAGCGUUGUCCGGAAUUAUUGGGCGUAAAGGGCUCGUAGGCGGUCUGUUGCGUCAGGAGUGAAAACUCGGGGCUUAACCCCGAGCCUGCUUCUGAUACGGGCAGACUAGAGGUAUGCAGGGGAGAACGGAAUUCCUGGUGUAGCGGUGAAAUGCGUAGAUAUCUGGAGGAACACCGGUGGCGAAGGCGGCAUCCUGGACCAACACUGACACUGAGGAGCGAAAGCCAGGGGAGCAAACGGG